AAGGGACAGCUGUAUCCUUGAACCACGAGUCUUUGUGGCUUUCAGCAAGGCAAAGAUGAUCUCACCUGAGGGCACAAGCAAGCUUUUCUGCCAUACAACACAUGGCUAUGGUAGAGGAGAGGGAUGUGGUAUAGUCCUGCUGAAGCCUUUGAAAAAGGCUCUUGAAGACUCUUGAAGAUCAUAUCUGGGGAAUUGUGAAGAAGACUGCAUUAAACAAAGAUGGCCAGACCGUCACACCGACCACCAAACCCUCCAGCAGGAAGCUCUGUUGCUCAUGAUCUACUCCUCUGAGGAUUAUCUACCAAAUGUCCAGUAUGUAGAAGCUCAUGGGACUGGAACACCAGCAGGAGAUCCAGUUGAAGCAGGAAGUAUCUAAAAAAUCAUUGCCAAAGCAAGACAUUCAAGCUCAGGGCCUGUUUAUUGGCUCUGUUAAGAGUAACAUCGGACAUACAGAAUCUGCAGCAGGGGUGGCAGGAUUCAUAAUGAUUCUGUUAAUGAUGAAACAUGAAAGUAUUGUCCCCUGUGUUCUACUCAGCAGAAAAUUCAAGCAUAGAUGCUAAAUCUCUCAAUCUUAAAAUCCCCACCAGAGCUGAAAAAUGGCUUUAUUCUGGAUUCAGGGUAAGGAUGGUUGGAUUAAACAGCUUUGGGUUUGGUGGCAACAAAGCCCAUGCCAUAAUCAAGGGAAUGCACUUGCACAAAGCAUGCCCAUCAAUACAAAGUAGUACUUUUCAGUUGGUGCUCCCUGAAGGAAUGCCUUCUCAGUCUGCAGUGCAUUCUGGAUCUUAUUUUAGUGCAACAA